AAUAAGAUGCCUGAAUAAAGGGUUAUUCUGAUAGAAUAAAUAAAGUAUUUUAAUACUCUUAUUA
rnacentral:tRNA from 1 species